rnacentral:lncRNA from 1 species
UCAUCUUUUCAGGAAGGCGAGAACAACGACAAGUUCUUCACCCACCCCAAGGAUGCCAAGGCGCUGGCGGCCUACCUCUUUGCACACAAUCACCUCUUCUACCUGAUGGAGCUGGCCACGGCCCUGCUGCUGCUGCUGCUCUCCCUGUGCGAGGCCCCCGCCGUCCCCGCACUCCGGCUUGGCAUCUAUGUGAGCGCACAUGCUCCUCAUACGGGAGGCUGGGAGCCACGGCUUUCAGGGCAAGCGACAGAACUCCAAAAAGGAACAUUCUGGGAGGGCAAACACUGCAAACGGACUUAAAACAGAGAGAUACGAGGCGAUCAUAGAGGCCUUCGGAGCGGAAAUGCCUGGGUGUCCCUGCUGGAGUGAAUGGCCUUCACCCAGUCUCUCUGGGAUUCUGCCCACCAGUAAAUUCCAGGGAGGGGAAGUGUCCCAGGCCCUGCUCAGGACCAGUGCCCACACCUUGGCUCCGGGUGGGGAGGGCACCCAGUGGACAGUCCCACUACUCUGUCUCCAGCCUCAAAGGAGAAGGCAGUUCGGUCCACGCCACCCUGGAGCUGUUCGCCCUGAUGGUGGUAGUGUUUGAACUCUGCAUGAAGUUACGCUGGCUGGGCCUCCACACCUUCAUCCGGCACAAGCGGACCAUGGUCAAGGUGAUGUGUCCGCCCAUCUGUCCCUCCCCUUGCAGCCUUUUCUCCCAUGUCACCUUCAAACCUGUCUCUUUGGUACAAUUCAGAAUCCACCAUGGCCCAGUCCAUGCUCAGAGGUGUAACCCUAGGGUCCGUGUCCUGACCGUGCCCUCAGCCUUGUGGGUGCCCUGGAUGUCGUGGUGAUGCCAGCAGUAGCUAAUGUGAUGGGGUGUUUGGUACCUGCCAGGCACUGGCGCAGUCACCUUCGAGAGAGAUGUGCUGCUCUCCAUGUUUUACAUUCAUCUGGAGACAUGGGGCUCACACCCAGCUCUGCCCACUGCGCCCGGCUCACCUGUCCCUAGUGUUGCGCAUAUUCUCUCUGUGCCACAGAGAGUGGCGUGAGUAGGAGCACGUCAAGGUGGCAUUUUGUAGUGUGUGGAGCAUGUGCGCUACUCUAGGAGAGUGUAGCCAAGUAAGCAGAGCUGAAGAGGAGCUGCAGGCCCCGGGAUCCCUGAUGUGAGUG